rnacentral:tRNA from 1 species
AAUAAAGUGCCUGAUCAAAAGGAUUAAACUGUAAAUUUAAGCAUAAUGUUAAGUCAUUCUUUAUUA